rnacentral:rRNA from 1 species
AUGCACGCUGGCGGCGUGCCUAAUACAUGCAAGUCGGGCGAACAGACGAGGAGCUUGCUCCUCUGACGUUAGCGGCGGACGGGUGAGUAACACGUGGAUAACCUACCUAUAAGACUGGGAUAACUUCGGGAAACCGGAGCUAAUACCGGAUAAUAUAUUGAACCGCAUGGUUCAAUAGUGAAAGACGGUUUUGCUGUCACUUAUAGAUGGAUCCGCGCCGCAUUAGCUAGUUGGUAAGGUAACGGCUUACCAAGGCAACGAUGCGUAGCCGACCUGAGAGGGUGAUCGGCCACACUGGAACUGAGACACGGUCCAGACUCCUACGGGAGGCAGCAGUAGGGAAUCUUCCGCAAUGGGCGAAAGCCUGACGGAGCAACGCCGCGUGAGUGAUGAAGGUCUUCGGAUCGUAAAACUCUGUUAUUAGGGAAGAACAAAUGUGUAAGUAACUAUGCACGUCUUGACGGUACCUAAUCAGAAAGCCACGGCUAACUACGUG